rnacentral:rRNA from 1 species
UACGAAGGUCCCGAGCGUUGUUCGGAAUCACUGGGCGUAAAGGGAGCGUAGGCGGCGUGGCAAGUCAGAUGUGAAAUCCCGGGGCUCAACCCCGGAACUGCAUCCGAUACUGCCAUGCUAGAGGAUUGGAGAGGUAGCUGGAAUUCUUGGUGUAGCAGUGAAAUGCGUGGAUAUCAAGAGGAACACUCGUGGCGAAAGCGAGCUACUGGACAACUCCUGACGCUGAGGCUCGAAGGCCGGGGGAGCGAAGGGG